rnacentral:rRNA from 1 species
GGGCAGUUUGACUGGGGCGGUCUCCUCCUAAAGAGUAACGGAGGAGUACGAAGGUGCGCUCAGACCGGUCGGAAAUCGGUCGCAGAGUAUAAAGGCAAAAGCGCGCUUGACUGCGAGACAGACACGUCGAGCAGGUACGAAAGUAGGUCUUAGUGAUCCGGUGGUUCUGUAUGGAAGGGCCAUCGCUCAACGGAUAAAAGGUACUCCGGGGAUAACAGGCUGAUACCGCCCAAGAGUUCAUAUCGACGGCGGUGUUUGGCACCUCGAUGUCGGCUCAUCACAUCCUGGGGCUGAAGCCGGUCCCAAGGGUAUGGCUGUUCGCCAUUUAAAGUGGUACGCGAGCUGGGUUUAGAACGUCGUGAGACAGUUCGGUCCCUAUCUGCCGUGGACGUUUGAGAUUUGAGAGGGGCUGCUCCUAGUACGAGAGGACCGGAGUGGACGAACCUCUGGUGUUCCGGUUGUCACGCCAGUGGCAUUGCCGGGUAGCUAUGUUCGGAAAAGAUAACCGCUGAAAGCAUCUAAGCGGGAAACUUGCCUCAAGAUGAGAUCUCACUGGGAACUUGAUUCCCCUGAAGGGCCGUCGAAGACUACGACGUUGAUAGGCUGGGUGUGUAAGCGUUGUGAGGCGUUGAGCUAACCAGUACUAAUUGCCCGUGAGGCUUGACCAU